GUGAGGAAUAUUGCGCAAUGGAGGCAACUCUGACGCAGCCAUGCCGCGUGCAGGAAGAAGGCGCUACGCGUUGUAAACUGCUUUUAACCGGGAAGAAACCCCAGGACGUGUCCUGGGUUGACGGUACCGGAGGAAUAAGCACCGGCUAACUUCGUGCCAGCAGCCGCGGUAAUACGAAGGGUGCAAGCGUUAUCCGGAUUCAUUGGGUUUAAAGGGGGCGUAGGCGGAGCGUUAAGUCAGUGGUGAAAUCCUGCAGCUUAACUGUAGACUUGCCAUUGAUACUGGCGCUCUUGAGUGCGCUUGAAGUGGGCGGAAUGUGCCGUGUAGCGGUGAAAUGCUUAGAUAUGGCACAGAACACCAAUUGCGAAGGCAGCUCACUAAGGCGAUACUGACGCUGAGGCACGAAAGCGUGGGGAUCGAACAGGAUUAGAUACCCCAGAGUCC
rnacentral:rRNA from 1 species